rnacentral:rRNA from 1 species
UACGUAGGGGGCAAGCGUUGUCCGGAAUCAUUGGGCGUAAAGCGCGCGUAGGCGGCCCGGUAAGUCCGCUCUGAAAGUCCAGGGCUCAACCCUGGAAAGCGGGUGGAUACUGCCGGGCUAGAAUCCGGAAGAGGCGAGUGGAAUUCCUGGUGUAGCGGUGGAAUGCGCAGAUAUCAGGAGGAACACGAAUAGCGAAGGCAGCUCGCUGGGACGGUACUGACGCUGAGACGCGAAAGCGUGGGGAGCGAACAGG